CAAGGAACAUCAGGUAACAGAGGGUUUGAUUAUGGCUCAGAUUGAACGCUGGCGGGAUGUGCUUUACACAUGCAAGUCGAACGGCAGCACGGACUUCGGUCUGGUGGCAGUGGCGAACGGGUGAGUAAUGCGCCUCAGACGUACUUUAAUGGCAGGGAUAACUACGCGAAAGCAGCAGCUAAUAUACGCCCUUCGAGGAAAAAGCGGGGACCUUCGGGCCUCGCACUAUUAGAGCGGCCGAUAUCGGAUUAACCAGUUGGUGGAGGUAACGGCUCAUGAGGCGGCCAGUCAAUGGCUGGUUUAGAAGGGACGACCAACCACACAGGACUGAGACACAGCCGAACUCCUACGGGAGGCAGCAGUGGGGGAAUUUUGGACAAUGGGGGAAACCUGAUCCAGCCAUCCCGCGUGUGCGAUGAAGGCCGCCGGGUUGUAAAGCACUUUUGGCAGGAAAGAAACGGCACGGGAUAAUACCCCGUGCAACUGACGGUACCUGCAGAAUAAGCACCGGCUAACUACGUGCAGCCGCGGUAAUACGUAGGGUGCAAGCGUUAAUCGAAUUACUGAACGUACAGCGUGCGCAGGCGGUUCGGAAAAGAAGAUGUGAAAUCCCAGAGCUUAACUUUGGAACUGCAUUUUAACUACCGAGCACAAGUGUGUCAGAGGAGUGGAAUUCCGCAAAUCGUAGCAGUGAAAUGCGUAGAUAUGCGGAGAGAACACCGAUGGCGAAGGCAGCCUCCUGGGAUAACACUGACGCUCAUGCAGCGUGAAGACAAACAGGUUGAUACCUGGUAGUCCACGCCCUAAACGAUGUCAACUAGCUGUGGGGCCUUCGGGCCUUGGUAGCGCAGCUAACGCGCCGGUUGACCACGCCUGGGAAGUACAGUUCGCCAAGAUUAAAACUCAGGAAUUGACGGGGACCCGCACAAGCGGUGGAUGAUGUGGAUUAAUUCGAUGCAACGCGAAAAACCUUACCUACCCUUGACAUGUCUGGAAUCCGAAGAGAUUUGGGAGUGUACUCAAGGAGAACCAGACCACAGGUGCUGCAUGGCUGUCGUCAGCUCGUGUCGUGAGAUGUUGGGUUAAGUCCCGCAACGAGCGCAACCCUUGUCAUUAGUUGCUACGAAAGGGCACUCUAAUGAGACUGCCAGUAGCAAACCGGAGGAAGGUGGGGAUGACAGUCGAAGUCCUCAUGGCCCUUAUGGGUAGGGCUUCACACGUCAUACAAUGGUCGGGACAGAGGUCGCCAACCCGCGAGGGGAGCCAAUCCCAGAAACCCGAUCGUAGUCCGGAUCGCAGUCUGCAACUCGACUGCGUGAAGUCGGAAUCGCUUCGUAAUCGCGGAUCAGCAUGUCGCGGUGAAUACGUUCCCGGGUCUUACAUACCCUAUGCGUCACACCAUGGGAGUGGGUUUUUAGAAGUAGUUAGCCUAACCGUAAGGAGGGCGAUUACCACGGUAGGAUUCAUGACUGGGGUGAAGUCGUAACAAGGUAA
rnacentral:rRNA from 1 species